ACAAGAUCUACUAACACACUCCUGUUGCAGUUUUCCUGAUAAUUGGACUCCUGGGCUAUCAGGACAGGGGAAGAACUUCAAGGACGUCUGCCAGUGUCUGUGUCAGCAUGCCUGUACUAGGUCACAACAAUGGACGUCACCAAUGCCUCAGUCUCUGGAGAGGUCUUACCUCUCGCCGAGAUGCAUCCACAACCUACCAGCAGUAAUGGGUACUUAGAAGUGAACUUGAUGAGGAAAAAGUACUUAGAAGCACUCCAGGACACUUGCAUUUCGAGGAAGAGAACUUGAGCUUGGGGAGGCAUCACAGAACUCCCCUUCGUUUAUGACAGCGUGCUUUGCCUUCCACGGAGGGGCAGAAGAUGAAGGUACGGUGCUUCCAUGUCAAAAAUUUUUGGUAAAUGACAUUUUUCAUUCCCUGGGACCUGCUAUUGGCUUCUUAUUUUUCCUUUUCAAUAUUAAAAAAACUUUCUGCUUUAUUUUCUAUUAUUCUCAUUUUUUUCCUGCACCUCUAUCA
rnacentral:lncRNA from 1 species